UUUUCAACGUCUUCAGCAAGUGAAUUAUCACUGUGUCAAAAAAGCAACGCGUCUCAAUAUAUUUACACAUGACUACUUAAAUUAGUACUAAAGUUUAAUGUAUCUUUAACUAUCCAUUUAAAAGAAGCCAUUCUUGAUUUAGCAUAUCAUAAUGAUUUUUAUUAUUAAUUAGGGAUGUAUAUUUGAACAGGUAAUUUCUUGAAUACACACAAUUACAAUAAUGCAAGUAAUUGACACUAGCAAAGCACUUUAAAGGGACUGUCCAAUGGAUUAGUUUACUGAAUUUAGAAGGCUAUUAUUUUGAGAUUAAUUAAUAACAUUCGUUAAUUUGAACCAUAUCCAACUCAACCUUUUGCUAAAAACUACAAAACUAAAGAGCAACAGCCAAAUUGUUUUACGACGUUUGCGUCUACCUUAGGAAAUCCCUUUCUAUUUGUAUUUCGCGCUUCGUGUCACGUGAUUCAGACACAAACAAACAAAAUGGCGGAGGCUUCGAAAUCUACAAUGAGCGAACCAGCCAACACAGAGGGAGAGAUGAGAAGAAGUAAACGUGUGAGACAGCCAUCUAAGAGAAUGUUGUUGUAUUUUCAGGACACAGAUUCAGAUUCAAGUCUACAGAAGGGUAAAGGAAAACGUCCUGCCAGAAAGUUGAUACAUUAGCAACAACAACUAAGGGGACACUGGAACACCAUAGCACGUCUGACAAUGAACCUGUUCUGGCUUUUGUUCCUUCAAGUUCUGAUGAGUCUGAAGGAGAACCACUCAGUGAGAGAGAGGA